UACGAAGGGGGCUAGCGUUGCUCGGAUUGACUGGGCGUAAAGGGCGCGUAGGCGGUUCGUACAGUCAGACGUGAAAUUCCUGGGCUCAACCUGGGGGCUGCGUUGAUACGUGCGGACUUGAGUGCGGAAGAGGGUCGUGGAAUUCCCAGUGUAGAGGUGAAAUGUGUAGAGAUCGGGAGGAACACCGGUGGCGAAGGCGGGUCUCUGGGCAAUUCCUGACGCUGAGGCGCGAAAGCGUGGGGAGCAAACGGG
rnacentral:rRNA from 1 species